AGCAGCCGCGGUAAUUCCAGCUCCAAUAGCGUAUAUUAAAGUUGUUGCAGUUAAAAAGCUCGUAGUUGAAUUUCGGGGUUAGUAGAUUGGUCAUGCCUCUGGUAUGUACUGGUCUCACUGAUUCCUCCUUCCUGAUGAACCUUAAUGCCAUUAAUUUGGUGUUUUGGGGAAUUUGGACUGUUACUUUGAAAAAAUUAGAGUGUUUAAAGCAAGCUAACGCUUGAAUACAUUAGCAUGGAAUAAUGAAAUAGGACGUUCGAUCCUAUUUUGUUGGUUUCUAGGAUUGACGUAAUGAUUAAUAGGGAUAGUUGGGGGCAUUAGUAUUCAAUUGUCAGAGGUGAAAUUCUUGGAUUUAUUGAAGACUAACUACUGCGAAAGCAUUUGCCAAGGAUGUUUUCAUUAAUCAAGAACGAAAGUUAGGGGAUCGAAGACGAUCAGAUACCGUCGUAGUCUUAACCAUAAACUAUGCCGACUAGGGAUCGGAUGAUGUUAAUUUCUUAAUGACUCA
rnacentral:rRNA from 1 species